AACGAACGCUGGCGGCAGGCUUAACACAUGCAAGUCGAACGCCCCGCAAGGGGAGUGGCAGACGGGUGAGUAACGCGUGGGAACGUGCCCCAAGGUGGGGAACAACUCCGGGAGACUGGAGCUAAUCCCCUAUGUGUCCGAGAGGAGAAAGAUUUAUCGCCUUGGGAUCGGCCCGCGUCAGAUUAGCUAGUUGGUGGGGUAAAAGCCUACCAAGGCGACGAUCUGUAGCUGUUCUGAGAGGAAGAUCAGCCACACUGGGACUGAAACACGGCCCAGACUCCUACAGAAGGCAGCAGUAGAGAAUCUUGGACAGUGGGCGCAAGCCUGAUCCAGCCAUGCCGCGUGAGUGACGAAGGCCUUAGGGUUGUAAAACUCUUUCGCACGUGACGAUAAUGACGGUAACGUGAGAAGAAGCUCCGGCUAACUUCGCGCCAGCCGCCGCGGUAAAAC
rnacentral:rRNA from 1 species